UACAGAGGGGGCAAGCGUUAUUCGGAAUUAUUGGGCGUAAAGGGCGCGCAGGCGGCGAUUCAAGUGACGGGUGAAAUCCCUCGGCUUAACCGAGGAACUGCCUGUCAGACUGGAUUGCUUGAGGCCGGGAGAGGCGAGUGGAAUUCCCAGUGUAGCGGUGAAAUGCGUAGAUAUUGGGAGGAACACCAGUGGCGAAGGCGGCUCGCUGGACCGGUUCUGACGCUGAGGCGCGAAAGCGUGGGAGCAAACAGG
rnacentral:rRNA from 1 species